AGUGGCGGACGGGUGAGUAAUGCGUAGGAAUCUGUCUUAGAGAGGGGGACAACUCGGGGAAACUCGGGCUAAUACCGCAUAAUUGAGAGGAAAGCGUCGCUCAUAGAGGAGCCUACGUCGGAUUAGCUAGUUGGUUAGGUAACAGCUAACCAAGGCGACGAUCCGUAGCUGGUCUGAGAGGACGACCAGCCACACUGGGACUGAGACACGGGCCCGACUCCUACGGGAGGCAGCAGUGGGGAAUUUUGGACAAUGGGGGCAAACCUGAUCCAGCAUGCCGCGUGUGUGAAGAAGGGCUGAGGGUUGUAAAGCACUUUAGGUGGGGAGGAAUGACGUUACCCACAGAAUAAGCACCGGCUAACUCUGUGCCAGCAGCCGCGGUAAUACAGAGGGUGCGAGCGUUUAUCGGAAUUACUGGGCGUAAAGCGCAUGUAGGUGGUUUACUAAGUCUGAUGUGAAAGCCCUGAGCUUAACCUGGGAACG
rnacentral:rRNA from 1 species